rnacentral:rRNA from 1 species
GACAGAGGGGGCAAGCGUUGCUCGGAAUCACUGGGCGUAAAGGGCGCGUAGGCGGGAUGGCAAGUCAGUCGUGAAAUCUCUCGGCUCAACCGAGAAACGUCGGCUGAUACUGCCGUUCUUGAGGGAUGCAGAGGAGACUGGAAUUCCCGGUGUAGCGGUGAAAUGCAUUGAGAUCGGAAAGAACACCAACGGCGAAAGCACUCUGCUGGGCCGACACUGACACUGAGAGACGAAAGCUAGGGGAGCAAAUGGG